rnacentral:lncRNA from 1 species
UGCAAUCCAAUUUCAACUCUCAUCCAUGUCCUCAGAAAUAAGUAAAUAACAAUCCAAAAAAUAUCUUUAUUUUGGAUGAUAAUUGAUCGAUAAAUGUUAACCUUAAAAAUCUAAAAUCAUAUAUAUACGAACUAUGAAGUAUGAACAGGUGGACAUAAAUUCUAACUAUAGAUGAUCAUGACCAAUUGGCCAUAGAAAAUCCUUGGCAAAUUGGAUCUAUAUGACAGUGGAGGUAAGAACUGCAAGUGAUAUCAUAUGUAGACAUGCAGAGUGAAUGAGUGAUGCAAUGUUAAUUUUUUUUCUACAUACAUCUGUUUUUUGAUAUAUAAUUACAAUUUGCAAUGAUUUUGGAUUCAUAGAGGAAUAGCUAAAGGAUUGUUGCUGUCUGAGGGAAUCCUGUUCUCAGCAGGAAUCUCUACAAACUCAGACAGAAUUGCUCUGAAUUCGUCACCUGUUAGUGUUUCCUUCUCAACAAGGAUAUCAACGAUCUUAUCCAUGGCCUCUCGGUUGUUUCUGAUGUGACCCAAAGCAAUGUCAUAUGCGGUAUCAGAUAGCCUCUUGAUAGCAGUAUCUAUGUCUUCAGCCAAUUUCUCAGAUAAUGAGUUGCGGGCCAUCAUUCUCAUGAUAACAUCUCCACUCUGAGAUGAGGGAUCCAUUAGUGACCAUGGACCAAUAUCAGACAUCCCAAAAGUAGUUACCAUCU